rnacentral:rRNA from 1 species
UGGCGCACGGGUGAGUAACGCGUGGAUAAUCUACCCCUCAGUUGGGAAUAACUCAUCGAAAGGUGGGCUAAUACCGAAUAACACUGUUUGGCUUUGGUCGAGCAGUCAAAGAGAGCCUCUGCUUGCAAGCCCUCGCUGAAGGAUGAGUCCGCGUACCAUUAGCUAGUUGGUAGGGUAAUGGCCUACCAAGGCGACGAUGGUUAGCUGGUCUGAGAGGAUGAUCAGCCACACUGGAACUGAGAUACGGUCCAGACUCCUACGGGAGGCAGCAGUGAGGAAUCUUGCGCAAUGGGGGCAACCCUGACGCAGCAACGCCGCGUGAGUGAGGAAGGUCUUCGGAUCGUAAAGCUCUGUCAGUUGGGAAGAAAUGCCUGUUGGUUAAUACCCUUCAGGCUUGACGGUACCAACAGAGGAAGCACCGGCUAACUCCGUGCCAGCAGCCGCGGUAAUACGGGGGGUGCAAGCGUUGUUCGGAAUUAUUGGGCGUAAAGAGCGUGUAGGCGGCCUGAUGUGUCAGAUGUGAAAGCCCUGGGCUCAACCCAGGAAGUGCAUUUGAAACUGUCAGGCUUGAGUAGGGGAGAGGGAAGUGGAAUUCCUGGUGUAGAGGUGAAAUUCGUAGAUAUCAGGAGGAACACCGGUGGCGAAGGCGACUUCCUGGCCCUAUACUGACGCUGAGACGCGAGAGCGUGGGUAGCAAACAGGAUUAGAUACCCUGGUAGUCCACGCCGUAAACGAUGUUCACUAGGUGUUGGGGGUAUUGACCCCCUCAGUGCCGGAGCUAACGCAUUAAGUGAACCGCCUGGGGAGUACGGUCGCAAGACUAAAACUCAAAGGAAUUGACGGGGGCCCGCACAAGCGGUGGAGCAUGUGGUUUAAUUCGAUGCAACGCGAAGAACCUUACCUGGGCUUGACA